rnacentral:rRNA from 1 species
GAUGAACGCUGGCGGCGUGCCUAAUACAUGCCAGUCGAGCGAACGGACGAGAAGCUUGCUUUUCUGAUGUUAGCGGCGGACGGGUGAGUAACACGUGGAUAACCUACCUAUAAGACUGGGAUAACUUCGGGAAACCGGAGCUAAUACCGGAUAAUAUUUUGAACCGCAUGGUUCAAAAGUGAAAGACGGUCUUGCUGUCACUUAUAGAUGGAUCCGCGCUGCAUUAGCUAGUUGGUAAGGUAACGGCUUACCAAGGCAACGAUGCAUAGCCGACCUGAGAGGGUGAUCGGCCACACUGGAACUGAGACACGGUCCAGACUCCUACGGGAGGCAGCAGUAGGGAAUCUUCCGCAAUGGGCGAAAGCCUGACGGAGCAACGCCGCGUGAGUGAUGAAGGUCUUCGGAUCGUAAAACUCUGUCAUUAGGGAAGAACAUAUGUGUAAGUAACUGUGCACAUCUUGACGGUACCUAAUCAGAAAGCCACGGCUAACUACGUG